rnacentral:rRNA from 1 species
UACGGAGGGGGCUAGCGUUGUUCGGAAUUACUGGGCGUAAAGCGCGCGUAGGCGGAUCUGCAAGUCGGGGGUGAAAUCCCGAGGCUCAACCUCGGAACUGCCUUCGAUACUGCGGGUCUCGAGUCCGGGAGAGGUGAGUGGAAUUCCGUAGUGUAGAGGUGAAAUUCGUAGAUAUUAGGAAGAACACCAGUGGCGAAGGGCGGGUCGUCUGGGCAACA